rnacentral:rRNA from 1 species
UGUCCUACGGGGGGCAGCAGUGGGGAAUAUUGGACAAUGGGCGCAAGCCUGAUCCAGCCAUGCCGCGUGAGUGACGAAGGUCUUCGGAUUGUAAAGCUCUUUUGCCAGGGACGAUAAUGACGGUACCUGGAGAAUAAGCCCCGGCUAACUUCGUGCCAGCAGCCGCGGUAAUACGAAGGGGGCUAGCGUUGUUCGGAAUUACUGGGCGUAAAGCGCACGUAGGCGGAUUUGUUAGUCAGGGGUGAAAUCCCGGGGCUCAACCUCGGAACUGCCUUUGAUACUGCAAGUCUAGAGUCCGGAAGAGGUGAGUGGAAUUCCUAGUGUAGAGGUGAAAUUCGUAGAUAUUAGGAAGAACACCAGUGGCGAAGGCGGCUCACUGGUCCGGUACUGACGCUGAGGUGCGAAAGCGUGGGGAGCAAACAGGAUUAGAUACCCUAGUAGUCAAA